rnacentral:rRNA from 1 species
UUUCGCAAUGCCCGAAAGGGUGACGAAGCGACGCCGCGUGUGGGAAGAAGGCCUUCGGGUUGUAAACCACUGUCGGGAGUUAAGAAAUGCAAGAAUGAUAAUAGCGUUUUUGCUUGACUAAGGCUCCGGAGGAAGCCACGGCUAACUCUGUGCCAGCAGCCGCGGUAAUACAGAGGCGGCAAGCGUUGUUCGGAAUUAUUGGGCAUAAAGAGCACGUAGGCGGCUAUAUAAGUCGGUUGUGAAAGCCUUCCGCUCAACGGGAGAACAGCAUCCGAUACUGUAUGGCUUGAGUGUGGGAGGGGAGAGCGGAACUUCUGGUGGAGCGGUGAAAUGCGUAGAUAUCAGAAGGAACGCCGGCGGCGAAAGCGGCUCUCUGGCCCAUAACUGACGCUGAGUGUGCGAAAGCUAGGGGAGCAAACGGGAUUAGAUACCCCGGUAGUCCUAGCCGUAAACGAUGGGCACUAAGUAGAGGGGUUUU